rnacentral:rRNA from 1 species
GACGAACGCUGGCGGCGUGCUUAACACAUGCAAGUCGAACGGAAAGGCCCUGCUUUUGUGGGUGCUCGAGUGGCAAACGGGUGAGUAACACGUGAGUAACCUGCCCUUGACUUUGGGGAUAACUUCAGGAAAACUGGGGCUAAUACCGGAUAGGAGCUCCUGCUGCAUGGUGGGGGUUGGAAAGUUUCGGCGGUUGGGGAUGGACUCGCGGCUUAUCAGCUUGUUGGUGGGGUAGUGGCUUACCAAGGCUUUGACGGGUAGCCGGCCUGAGAGGGUGACCGGCCACAUUGGGACUGAGAUACGGCCCAGACUCCUACGGGAGGCAGCAGUGGGGAAUAUUGCACAAUGGGCGGAAGCCUGAUGCAGCAACGCCGCGUGCGGGAUGACGGCCUUCGGGUUGUAAACCGCUUUCGCCUGUGACGAAGCGUGAGUGACGGUAAUGGGUAAAGAAGCACCGGCUAACUACGUG